UACGUAGGGGGCGAGCGUUGUCCGGAUUUAUUGGGCGUAAAGAGCUCGUAGGCGGUUCAGUAAGCCGGAUGUGAAAUCUCCACGCUCAACGUGGAGGGGCCAUUCGGUACUGCUGUGACUAGAGUCCGGUAGAGGAGUGUGGAAUUCCCGGUGUAGCGGUGAAAUGCGCAGAGAUCGGGAGGAACACCCGUAGCGAAGGCGGCACUCUGGGCCGUGACUGACGCUGAGGAGCGAAAGCGUGGGGAGCAAACAGG
rnacentral:rRNA from 1 species